rnacentral:rRNA from 1 species
AACGAACGCUGGCGGCAGGCUUAACACAUGCAAGUCGAGCGCCCCGCAAGGGGAGCGGCCGACAGGUGAGUAACGCGUGGGAACGUACCUUUUGGUUCGGAACAACUCCGGGAAACUGGAGCUAAUACCGGAUAAGCCCUAACGGGGAAAGAUUUAUCGCCGAAAGAUCGGCCCGCGUCUGAUUAGCUAGUUGGUGAGGUAACGGCUCACCAAGGCGACGAUCAGUAGCUGGUCUGAGAGGAUGAUCAGCCACACUGGGACUGAGACACGGCCCAGACUCCUACGGGAGGCAGCAGUGGGGAAUAUUGGACAAUGGGCGCAAGCCUGAUCCAGCCAUGCCGCGUGAGUGAUGAAGGCCUUAGGGUUGUAAAGCUCUUUUGUCCGGGAAGAUAAUGACUGUACCGGAAGAAUAAGCCCCGGCUAACUUC